rnacentral:rRNA from 1 species
AUACGUAGGGGGCGAGCGUUGUCCGGAAUGAUUGGGCGUAAAGGGCGCGUAGGCGGCGCGGUAAGUCUGGAGUGAAAGUCCUGCUUUCAAGGCGGGAAUUGCUUUGGAUACUGCCGCGCUUGAGUGCAGGAGAGGUUAUCGGAAUUCCCGGUGUCGCGGGGAAAGGCGUAGAGAUCGGGAGGAACACCAGUGGCGAAGGCGGGUAACUGGACUGCAACUGACGCUGAGGCGCGAAAGUGUGGGGAGCAAACAGGAUUAGAUACCCUGGUAGUCCACACUGUAAACGAUGAAUGCUAGGUGUAAGAGGUAUCGACCCCUUUUGUGCCGGAGUCAACACAAUAAGCAUUCCGCCUGGGGAGUACGGCCGCAAGGUUGAAACUCAAAUGAAUUGGCGGGG